rnacentral:lncRNA from 1 species
AUGAAUUCUGACUCGCUGUGCUGUUUCAUUAGACAAGGUAAUCUAGUCGAGCAUAGAAAAUGGGGAAAAAAUCACAGCAAGAACAGUCAAUCACAUAAAUGGGAUGUUUACGAGUCUGUCAUCACAGGUUAGCUGAACUAACCAAUUGGUACUGCUGCUCCCACGUUGCAACAUAAUGAGGUCGCCUUCCAUGGACACUCUACUAUCUCUGAAAAAGACAUUAUGUAAUUGAAAAAGGUAUGCAAUUUUCAAAUUAGGACGAGAUAUAGUAUUUGAAAUUGUUGAAAAAAACGCUGUUGAUGAUGCCAUGCAAUGAAUAGCGAUUAAUUUUGGCAUCCGUCAUUCUUAUCUCUUCAUAAUAUACAUCCAUCUGAAAUACGUGCUGUGUGACGCAGCAACCUACCUUAAUUGCUUCUCUAGUCAACUUUGCCAAGCUGAUAUAUUUAUGUUCACUUGAUAAAGACAUCUCAGAUUAAGUCCAGAUCUUCAUAAUCACACAUAGAGACCAGCCAUUCUACAAGUUGAUUCAAAUCAUAUCAGAAGGGCAGAGAGCAAUAACAAAUAAAGAUGGAAAAAAAAUGUGCAUGAAAAAUUAGAUGUCCCUUGGUCCCUGUUGACUGGUAACGGCAAACUUGUCAAUUUUAUUCAUCAAUCAACGAAAACAACAGUGUCUCUAGCUGUAUUCUAGUAUUUUAAUGACAAGACAACUGAAAAGGAAUGGCCCAGCCAAUAAAAUACAAAACUGAAUGGCAAAAAGAUUAAGAAAAGGUAACUAGAACUAAAUUGCAGGCCGAAUAUAUUAUGACUUAGCCUAAAAAAAAUGUGGCUAACCGAUAUAAUUGAUAUAUUUGUGAGAUUACUUGCACUCGCCUUGUCCUGAACAACUAGAGGACACAUCAUUUAAACAUAAAUACUCCUGCAACAUAAGGACAUAGCUAAUUGCAAAGAAUUGCAAUACCAGUCAGGAACCCAACAAUGCAAAACAGACAAAGAAAGCAUUACCCAUGGUUCUCCACUUUUGUGGAACUAAGUUCAUGGUCCAAAAAUAGAGUAGGCAAGAGAAACAUGAGAUCGAAGACAAAUGAGGCUUGAGGGGGUCACUAAAAACAGAGAUAAACUGCAUUUGUACACUUGUGUUGAGUUCAUGGAUCUCCUGAACUCCAUAGAAAAUCAGCAUUCAGUAUGCAGAAAACGCAAGAACUGGUAUAUUGAUCCAAAAAUGCUAAAUCGAGUGCAAAUUACGAAGCUCAACAAAGUCUUUUUUUUUCUUUCAUGCUGAUGCACUUUUGUCUUUCGGUGCAUUCUUAUAAAAGGAAGAACAAGCAGAAUAUAGAUUCCAUCCUAAUACCAGUAACAGGGAUGAGCAUGACUGCUACAUAAGCAUAGAGAAGACCAGAAAUGAACCAAUGAGCAUUCAUUCUGUUGCUCUGUUCUAAUAAACUUUAUUAGCUUCCUAUUGUGGGACAUCAUCAGGACAACACCUUCAACACUGUAAAUUGGCGGAAAAUUCUUCUGAAUCAUGGAGCUAGCAAAAGUGAGUUAUGACAUCACCACCAAUUGUGCUCAACUUGUGCAAUGCACACAACCGAAAAAGUGGGGAAAAACAUUAUGAGUGCCCAUGAAUAUUCGUAAGGCCCAUACAUUGAAUUGGAUGAAUGAAUAGACUCAACAUUACCACAUUACGAAUAUGAAGAGUCCGAAUAUCAAUGAUUGAAGUUGUGUCGCUGUAUGCAAUACAGCAUAAACAUUCCAUCUCCAAACAUCUCAAAGCUAGACACAACAAAAUCAAGUUUCACAACUUACAGUUCCUGGUUGGAUAAGAAUGAAUCUUUCAGAUGACCGAAGAAACCUGCAGCAAUCCACCAUCCAUCCAGCAGGAUCUAUGGUAUAACGCAUCAAAAUUGGUUAAACGGGCAUACGAAAGCGACUCCAAAACGUCGAAUCCAACAAAACCCCCAGAUAUUACCGGGCACCCUCUUUUCUACUACCUAAAGCUAAAACUAAAAGCAACUCAGCAUUGACCCCCAAAUCAAAAUUUUAGGUGAAAAAAAAAACCUGCCCUAAAUUACCGCCUCGGAUCGGAGACCAAAUAACACGGCGCUAAUCCGGAAUCGCCCGGGACUCCUGGAGCAAGCCCAUCCGCAGAAGAAUGGCUACUAGAUGGAGUUGCUUGCUCGAAUUACCUAGUUAGAAGAAGCCGAGAAGACGAGCACUUCCGCUUCGAUUCGUCUUUUGAUUUUCGAAGCGAAAACCCCAGGAAUAAAGUCG